AGUACGUAAACAAUAGCGUGUCCCACAAUUAACCAUUGAUGCGCCUCAAGCGUCGACACGAUCAAUCGCCGGCAAUCUUGCACAAAAACCUCAUUUAAUCUGUUUUUUGUGAUCUUUUGUGAAUCAACAACCCAUCAGAUUUCAGUAAUGGAGUAUCUGUUAGAGUUUCAAGGCGUCUACAAGCCAAGAAAGACUCUAAAUUUACAAGCAUCAAAGCCUGAGUCUCUAACACGUGUUGCUGUUUUAGAGCAGAGAGAAAAGGAAAGGUUGAGAAAAGCUGCAUACAGGGCCUAGUUAAGCCCACAUGAAAAAGCUUGGAUAAACAGAAAACGCAAAGAAAGAAAACAGCAAGCUAAUAGUCCACUUAAUGUCAUCUCAGCAGAGGUUGGUGAAUCACUAGGUACUGGAUUCCAGACUCCAGUGGCAAAAAGAAUGGCUGUUUCAAGGGCUUUGAUGAAAUUGCCUAGGUCACCCAAGAAAUAUGCUGCAGUUUUUGAUGGUCUCACACAAAUAUGCUCCCCAAGAAAAAGUAAAAGCUGUCCAUGACAUACGCUUUCUGCGCCUACCUGAGAGAAGAAAGCUCAUCCUUCUAAACAACAUUAAAGAAAGUAUCAAAACCUAACUACACUCCACCAGCAAAAAAAAAAGUCAGAUGUCUAGUGCUCAUAGACAAGUACUCUGCAGUAUCCUUAGUAAGUACAACAAACUCAGAGGUUGUGCUACUCAUUUCUAACAUUUGGUCAAGAAGUUUUAUGUCCAAGUGCAAAUCAGAACAAAUUGCAAGAAAAAAAAUGACGUGAUUGCAUUGCACAAAAUGCCUUGGAAACAAUAUUCAUUUUUUACAGUAGAGGGAACUGAUCCCUCUCAAUCAUCUGUUAGUGCUCAAACAGGAAAACGUUUCAUGCAAAAGCUACUUAACAUAAGAUGCAGUCUUGCUUAUGUGAGUUGUGUUUGAAGAUUUUUCUUUACAUAGAGGGCAUUAAUAAAUUUCUGAUCAAAAAAGGACACAGAGAGCUGACAUUAAUAAAUCCAGCUUCAUCACUUGACUUAACUCUAUGCCCAAGAACUAAUGCCAAUUGUUUUCAUAAGCUGCAGUGCAUUGAAAGAUCAUGUAGCAACUGUGGUGUGGAUUUAAUUAACAAGUAUUGAGCCUUUAAAAGAUUGCACAGAUGAAUUAGCAGAGUGGAGUAUAGUAUGUGGUCAAAGAUGACGGAUGAGUAUGUUCAGAGUGAUGGUACACUGCAAAAGGUAUCAAAGUGGCGACCAGUAAAUAAAGAAGGAUCUUUUAAUGACCUAGUGAGAGGUAUUACACCUAACACUAUUGCUUACAGAAAUAGAAGCUGUUUCUGCUAUCCAUACAGAAAUUCAUAUAUAUGGCAGUCAGUGCCUGCAUGAUGAAAUAUGUGGCUCUUGGAAGGUGUUCAAACUUCAGAAACAAAAUGUAGUGCAAUCUCAGUCAAAUCUUGAAGACUCUUUGGAUGUCAGUCCCAUAUGCUCAAAUUCAAAGGCCCAAACAAUUUUCUUCACUCAUCAAAAGUACAUUGUAAAUAGCUGUGUGAUUGUCAAGUAUGGGGAAAUAUUCUAUCCAGGAGUUGUGAUAGAAGUCCUGGAUGAUCAGCGCAGAAAUAAUUUUUUAAAAAGGCACAGAAAUUAAAGAAAUAUAUAAAUAUAUAUCCAGAAGUGCAGGACAUACAGUUAGUGUAUGCAGACAUGAUUGUUACUGAAGUGAUGUUGAUACCAAUGGCAAUAGUUUGAGAGUGGAAUGUUUUGAUUUCUGAAUUUGUCAAAUAAAAUUUGUGUACAGUU